AUUGAACGCUGGCGGCAGGCCUAACACAUGCAAGUCGAACGAGUGGCGGACGGGUGAGUAAUGUCUGGGAAACUGCGCGAUGGAGGGGGAUAACUACUGGAAACGUUAGCUAAUACCGCAUACCAUCGGAUGUGCCCAGGUGGGAUUAGCUAGUAGGGGGGGUAACGGCUCACCUAGGCGACGAUCCCUAGCUGGUCUGAGAGGAUGACCAGCCACACUGGAACUGAGACACGGUCCAGACUCCUACGGGAGGCAGCAGUGGGGAAUAUUGCACAAUGGGCGCAAGCCUGAUGCAGCCAUGCCGCGUGUAUGAAGAAGGCCUUCGGGUUGUAAAGUACUUUCAGCGAGGAGGCGGUACUCGCACAAGAAGCACCGGCUAACUCCGUGCCAGCAGCCGCGGUAAUAC
rnacentral:rRNA from 1 species